UGGGGAAUAUUGGGCAAUGGGCGAAAGCCUUACCCAGCAACGCCGCGUGAGGGAAGAAGGUUUUCGGAUUGUAAACCUCUGUCCUGGGGGACGAAGGAAGUGACGGUACCCCGGGAGGAAGCCCCGGCUAACUACGUGCCAGCAGCCGCGGUAAUACGUAGGGGGCGAGCGUUGUCCGGAAUUAUUGGGCGUAAAGGGCGCGUAGACGGCCGAGUAAGUUAUAGGUGAAAGCCCAUCUUUCAAUGGAUGGAAUUGCCUGUAAUACUGCCUGGCUUGAGUGCAGGAGAGGGAAGCGGAAUUCCUAGUGUAGCGGUGAAAUGCGUAGAUAUUAGGAGGAACACCAGUGGCGAAGGCGGCUUUCUGGACUGUAACUGACGUUGAGGCGCGAAAGCGUGGGGAGCAAACAGGAUUAGAUACC
rnacentral:rRNA from 1 species